CCCUGCUGACAAGGCUUUAAGGCAGCUUUUCCCCACUCCCACUGACUCGGGUUACCGUUCUGGCACUCUCUGUCUCCCCCACUGAAUGGAGACCUGCCUUGCUCAGCUCUGUGUCCUCAAGGCCAAGUACAUCAGGCUGUUAUCUUUGGGAGAAGCUGGAUGAAGACUGCACAGAAACUGUACCACUUUUCGAAAAACUUGAAAAAAAAUGACUUCUCACCCAUCAGAUUAGAAAAACUUAAGAAGCUUGACAACAUACUCUCUUGAUGACCCUGGGGAAAUGGACACACAUACAUGGCUGACUCCGCCCCUGAUAACAACAGCCGACAGCCACCAGCUGAGCGCUUGGGAAUCCCAAGCGUCUGAUGUGCACUUACGCCUUCAAUCUUUGCAGCAAGCCUAAGAGAUCCAAGACCCCUGAGAAAACCAGCAUCCCAGAGGAGAGGUAACUUCCCCCAGGGACUAACCCAAGUAAAUCCUGAGUCUGGCUGAUCCAAGACGUACUUCUUAUCCACGCCAUAUCAGAGGUCCAAAAACGAGCAGUGCUCGCAUGCGCAGAGUCUCACCAAAACUGAUUGCGCAAUGCCAUUUUGUACUGGCAACAGUGGCAAGAGCCCCAUGGAAAAAUAUUCAAAAGACGUGAGCCAGCAGUUCGUGAAA